UAUAAAUCCUAUCUCCGAGCCGUAAUAACCUAAUGAAAAAUCUAUGGUUACCGGCCAGGGCUUUAAGCCCUCAGGGUGUACCCGGAAACGGAUAUGCCUUCACUAUUGAAAAGGAGGUGGCUAGGCCUGCU
rnacentral:ncRNA from 2 species